UACGUAGGGUGCGAGCGUUGUCCGGACUUAUUGGGCGUACAGGGCUCGUAGGCGGUUUGUCGCGUCGGGCGUGAAAACACUGGGCUUAACUCAGUGCUUGCUUCCGAUACGGGCAGACUAGAGGUAUGCAGGGGAGAACGGAAUUCCUGGUGUAGCGGUGAAAUGCGCAGAUAUCAGGAGGAACACCGGUGGCGAAGGCGGGUCUCUGGGCCGAUACUGACGCUGAGGAGCGAAAGCGUGGGGAGCGAACAGG
rnacentral:rRNA from 1 species